rnacentral:lncRNA from 1 species
CGGAGCAGAUGAUAUAAACGCAGCAGUUCAGGCUGAAUCUGAAAAAUGGAGUUGAAGGCGUGUAAAGGAAGCCUGGGGAGCGGCCACAGCCGGGAUGUUUCUGCUGGAUUCCCCUGCCUCACCACCACCCAGUCCCAUCCCAGUGAUUUGUGCACUAGCUCUGGGGUUGCUCCCUCUUGAGACUCAACUGCCAUGCUGAUGAGUAGCCCAAAUCAUAUGGAGAGGCUGCAUUCAAGUAUUCUGUUCAACGGUCUCAGCUAAGCUCCGGGCCAAGAACCAAUGUCAACGGGCGGUCAUGAGUGUGAGCCGUCUUGGGCAUCCCAGCCCAACUGUGGCCCCAGUCAACUUCAUGUGGAGCAGAAGUACCACUAACCGAGCCCAGCCAACCUACAGAAUCACAAGAAUUAACACAACAGUUGGUGUUUUAUGCCACUAAGUAUUGGGGUUGUUUGUUAUGCAGCAAGAGAUAACUGGACAGAGAGUCAGUGCCUUUUCCGGUCCAUGCCAGGCUGAAGGUGAACAACUGGAUCACAAUCACAAUUGUAAUAUAGCAUUUUUGGCUGAACCUUCACCUACUUUGUAGUAACUCCCUUCCCCUCAUACUCUUCCCACAUGAUUUCUCUAAGGGGUAUCUAGAAUGUAUGAUCUGUGAACAGUCCUUUUGGCCCCCACUGGGCAUUGGCUAUGUUUUUGAUCUCACUCCGAUGACCUCUCUGCUCUGUGGUGAAAUGUCUCUUCUCUGCCAACAUUAAGAGCAGCAGCCUGGCCCCCAGUGUCUCUGAAAGCAGCACUGCCAUUGAUGGCCAUGAUGACUGAAGAUGACCAUGGGCCUGACGAUGCCCAAAGGUGAAGGCUCUGGGGUCUGUCUCAAGAUGCUGUCUCCAUGACUAAUGUGGCUGCUAGUGCCAUUGUGGCCGAUGCUUUGUGUUUGAAAGGUUCUAGAGAUUUUAGGAAAUAGUUCAUUAUUGUAAUUGGUGACGUAAGUGCCCAUAUCCUUACAUGUAAUAAUUGUUUGUUCAAUUGAAAUAAAGAGUUAAGUCAUAUUACUUAGAUUCUUUAUUAUUUCUUGGUGGGGAGGAUUCAAAUAAUCUAAACUAAGAACCCUAUAUCAGUGUUGCAGUUGAAACAUUUAGCCUACAAAGAGCCCGACUAGAGAAAUUGUUCUAAUAGGGUUCAGUUGGGAUGCUUCUCAAUGAGGUUUUCUUCAGCAAGAAUUCAUACUUUAUUUAGGUGAGUUAAAGUAUUUAACUUGUUUUUUAUUCUUUAAAUAAUAUAAGUAGAAGAUAA